rnacentral:rRNA from 1 species
ACGAUGAAUCUUCUAGCUUGCUAGAAGUGGAUUAGUGGCGCACGGGUGAGUAAUGCAUAGGUUAUGUGCCCUUUAGUCUGGGAUAGCCACUGGAAACGGUGAUUAAUACUGGAUACUCCCUACGGGGGAAAGUUUUUCGCUAAAGGAUCAGCCUAUGUCCUAUCAGCUUGUUGGUGAGGUAAUGGCUCACCAAGGCUAUGACGGGUAUCCGGCCUGAGAGGGUGAUCGGACACACUGGAACUGAGACACGGUCCAGACUCCUACGGGAGGCAGCAGUAGGGAAUAUUGCUCAAUGGGGGAAACCCUGAAGCAGCAACGCCGCGUGGAGGAUGAAGGUUUUAGGAUUGUAAACUCCUUUUGUUAGAGAAGAUUAUGACGGUAUCUAACGAAUAAGCACCGGCUAACUCCGUGCCAGCAGCCGCGGUAAUACGGAGGGUGCAAGCGUCACUCGGAAUCACUGGGCGUAAAGAGUGCGUAGGCGGGGUAAUAAGUCAGAUGUGAAAUCCUGUAGCUUAACUACAGAACUGCAUUUGAAACUGUUACUCUGGAGUGUGGGAGAGGUAGGUGGAAUUCUUGGUGUAGGGGUAAAAUCCGUAGAGAUCAAGAGGAAUACUCAUUGCGAAGGCGACCUGCUGGAACAUUACUGACGCUGAUGCACGAAAGCGUGGGGAGCAAACAGGAUUAGAUACCCUGGUAGUCCACGCCCUAAACGAUGGAUGCUAGUUGUUGCCUUGCUUGUCAGGGCAGUAAUGCAGCUAACGCAUUAAGCAUCCCGCCUGGGGAGUACGGUCGCAAGAUUAAAACUCAAAGGAAUAGACGGGGACCCGCACAAGCGGUGGAGCAUGUGGUUUAAUUCGAAGAUACGCGAAGAACCUUACCUAGGC